ACUCCUACGGGAGGCAGCAGCAAGGAAUCUUGGGCAAUGGGCGAAAGCCUGACCCAGCAACGCCGCGUGAGGGAUGAAGGCUUUCUCCAUGUAAACCUCUUUUCACAGGGAAGAAUAAUGACGGUACCUGUGGAAUAAGCUUCGGCUAAC
rnacentral:rRNA from 1 species